rnacentral:lncRNA from 1 species
AUUCGCAUAGACCCACCCUGGGAGUCGGAUGUCAAGUAUGAGUUUAAGAGUGAAUGUUUUUUGAAUUUGUCAGAGUUGAGAUAUUUUGAUGCAGAUCCAACAAUAUUGCUGACCGGAGAUUUCAAUAAUCUUCUCCCGAAUUUAAAGUGGCUUCAGUUGCACGAGUACAGAGAUGAAGAGAAUGAUCCUCCUUUGACCAAUUUUACUAUGAAACUCCUUCGACCAUUUUUCCUAUGAAAAAAUUGGUAAUUCUUGAUUUGGGCAAUACCAGAAAAGAGUGGAGCCAUAUGAUGAAGGUGUGUGUUUAUUGCAGCUGUCACUCGUCAGUUAUAUAUUCGUCUUUGUUCUUCAUGUUUUUGUUUUAACUAUGCCUUAAUCUGGUUCUACAUAGAUGGCUCCCAGGCUGAAAGUUGUACGACUUUAUUCCCACUAUGGGUUCUCCGAAAGACUUUCUUUCUGUUGGCGCUUCCCCAAAAGCAUUGAGGUAUUAUCCAUGAAUUCUAUGAGAAUUGAAGAACUUGAUAUUGGGGAGUUAAAGAAGCUAAAGACGUUGGAUCUGAGCUACUGUACAAUACAAAAGAUAAGUGGGGGAACCUUUGGUGUGUUGAAGGGACUCAUAGAGCUUGAACUCAUCGACUUCAAGUGUACAAAUUUGAGAGAGGUAGUGGCCGGUAUUGGUCAAAUUUUAAAUUUGAGAGAAGUAGUUGCCGAUAUUUGUCAGCUGUCGUCUCUCAAAAUUUUGAAAAUAGAGAGCGUUAAGGAGGUCGAGAUUAAUGAAUUUCCAUUAGG